UACGGAGGAUCCGAGCGUUAUCCGGAUUUAUUGGGUUUAAAGGGUGCGUAGGCGGCUUUUUUAAGUCAGCGGUGAAAUUUUGCAGCUUAAACUGUAACAGUGCCGUUGAUACUGGGGAGCUAGGAUUUGGUUGCUGUGGGUGGAAUGUGUGGUGUAGCGGUGAAAUGCUUAGAGAUCACACAGAAUAUCGAUUGCGAAGGCAGCUCACAAAUCCAAGAUUGACGCUGAGGCACGAAAGUGUGGGGAUCAAACAGGAUUAGAUA
rnacentral:rRNA from 1 species